AAUUGAUGUGAUGAUAUCUUUGUCGGAAUAUACAGUGUCGACUAAAUAAUCAGACUACAAUUAUCUGAUCAUCU
rfam:Ricinus communis cultivar Hale ctg_1100012355786, whole genome shotgun sequence.